UGACAAAUCAGAUUUGACAGAAUAGGAUGC
rnacentral:piRNA from 1 species